AGAGGACAUGGGGAGGUUGGGGGAUGGAGUGUCAGGGCUGGAGUCGGGGAGCAGGAGGCAGGAGGAAGAACUGGUUGAGAUGGAAGGGGGGAGCACUGGGGCACUGUGGGCAGCAUGGAGGCAGGAUGGAGGUGUGGGUGGGGGACAAGCAGGGGUGAACGUGUAGCAGAGGGCUCGGUGUUAGGAAAUGGAAGGGGAGGCAGGCUGUGCAGGCCUGAGGCUUGAGCAACUAGUUGGCUCGUUCCUCCUACACAACAGGGUGGGGGCUGAAGCAGGCUGGGGUAGGACCAGGGAGCAGGUAGCAGUGAGGGGUGUGGGCUCACCGAGGAGGGCACAGUGCUUGACGGCCCAGCAGUAGGCGUAGAAGCACUCCUCCAGCGCACGGGGGAAGGGGGCCUCGGGGGCCAGGGAGUAGUCGAUGGAGAGGAUGGGAAGAGCACACUCUGAACUCC